GUGCUUUGCAGCCAUUACUUCAGACUGAAUUGAGUCCAUAUUAAACACCGAUUGGCAGCCAUGCUGUUUAUAUUAUUAUGUGUGCUGCUUCUCUGAUUAUAUGCUGACAGUACGUGUGUUUUGGAGUUUUUUUUCAGUUACUUCGUAUCCUAAGAGUCUGACAUUGUCUAGAGUCAAUAUAUUUUCAUGGAAGUCAUAAUUGUCGAAUUGUUCUCUAUCGCUUUAACAAUUGUGAGCUUUAGGACACGUGAUCGUGAUAAAUGGGAACUGCCACCUUCUCUUGGUGGACUUUACUGCCUUCCAGCUGUGGUUCUGCAUUAAUCAGUAGAGGUUGAGGAGUCAUCAAGAAAACAACUGUGUUGUUAAAGUGUUCACUCUUUAAAAAGAUCCUGGCAUGAUGUGCUGCGUUUUUAGCUCUUUUAGUCUACUUCCCUUUGUCAGACAGAUUCUGCUUAAGUGGUUUCGUGAUUCGACAAUUCUGGCAGUAAUACGGCCUGGCUUUGCCUAGUGAACUUGGACUCAGCUUGCCAAAAACACUUUCUAUGUGUAUGUGUGUGUUUUUCACACUGGACCAGGCAG